rnacentral:rRNA from 1 species
AUUGAACGCUGGCGGAAUGCUUUACACACGCAAGUCGAACGGCAGCACGGACUUCGGUCUGGUGGCGAGUGGCGAACGGGUGAGUAAUGUAUCGGAACGUGCCCAGUCGUGGGGGAUAACGUAGUGAAAAUUACGCUAAUACCGCAUACGAUCUAUGGAUGAAAGCGGGGGAUCGCAAGACCUCGCGCGAUUGGAGCGUCCGAUAUCAGAUUAGGUAGUUGGUGGGGUAAAGGCCCACCAAGCCAACGAUCUGUAGCUGGUCUGAGAGGACGACCAGCCACACUGGAACUGAGACACGGUCCAGACUCCUACGGGAGGCAGCAGUGGGGAAUUUUGGACAAUGGGCGAAAGCCUGAUCCAGCCAUUCCGCGUGCAGGAUGAAGGCCCUCGGGUUGUAAACUGCUUUUGUACAGAACGAAAAGGUUUCUACUAAUACUAGGAGCUCAUGACGGUACUGUAAGAAUGAGCACCGGCUAACUACGUGCCAGCAGCCGCGGUAA